rnacentral:tRNA from 1 species
CGCCAAGCGGUAAGGCAACGGAUUUUGAUUCCGUCAUUCGUAGGUUCAAAUCCUGCC